rnacentral:lncRNA from 1 species
CAUAGAAGCCGGUUUGGUGCAGUGUUAUUUAAAAUGAGACCGCAUGGGCGUAGGCUUGUCUCCCCGCAGGCUCUUAGGAUUUGUGUGGGUCCCGUUUAGACGAAAAUAUUAUGUAGAUUGUGCUGGCUGUGUGGGCUCUUUAGCCUACUCUCCAAAAUAUAUGUCCAAUGUCAUUUUGGCUACAAUGCCGAGUUUAACAGCCAAAAUAUUUUUUUAUCCUGUUGGGAUGAUUUACAUUUUUACAUGAUCGUGGAAGACGUGUGCUCUUGAUAAGGCAUGCAAUGUGAAGAGCAUCUGAACAUACUUCAGUUUAUCGGGCCGAGCACGCACGAGCCAGCAGGUGCCAUGGAGUCGCAUCUCUCUGCCACCGCAUAUCUCGUCCUAGCAUUGGUCUCCACAACAUCUGGGUUCUUCUGGACUCCCCGAGGUCCUCAGAUGUACCCAUGCCUCACCUACAUGGAGCGCAACCUGCGGGUAGACUGUGAGUUCCCUGUGGAAGACAACCCUGCACACCUAGGCCCCUACUGCGAGUACAAGCAGGACAGCCGACUGGUGGGCAGCACCUACCCCAACGCUGUGUCCCUGGUGUCCACAGACAACCGAAGGAGGGCCAACGUGAGCCUGGUCAACCCCACCGUGUGUCGUCUUACCUGGGCUCCGAUGGCGGACGAUAAGCCCUACACCUACACCUGCAGGGUGUACCAGGGGUCUACCUGGAAGGAGAACAGCAUGGCUGUACACCAGCGUGAGUCAUCAUGGGUACAGGGAUGAGCAGGAGGAAGGACAACUGAGAUAGGAGUGGGGAGGGGAGUCAAUAUAGUUGAUGGUGCAAACAUAUACAAACAUAAAUGAUUGCAAAAAAUGCAAACAUAUACAGCAUUGGAGUUGUUCAGUGGGUUGCCCAAAGAUAUUAAUUUACUCAAUCAAAUAAGCAGUAGGGUAGACAAGAAUUAUGACAAGAAUUAUGAAAGUAUUUCCAAGCAAAAUUCUCUUUGUGGAUCUCUUUGUGUAUAUGUAGACCUAUUUGUUCUUGUGUUAUUGCACAUCCAUACAGAUGAAGUGUGCAUUUCGAAAGACAUUUGAGUAAUUUUAGUCUGGAAAAUAAGUAUGAAAUCAAAAACUAGUACCUAAGUAUAAUUGAAAGAGAAGUGUGAUGACAUGAUCUUUCAAUAAUGACUUGAUGUAGUAGACAAUAUUAGCAUUUUUCUAAAUGCAAUUUUAUUUGUUGCAAGGGUUUGUUUGUUGUGUUUGUGUACAAGUGUUUAAAUCUGAUGGUCUGUUUUUGUCUGUCUAGGAAUUCUUCCAAUCUGUUCAGCCCUCAGCGUGAUGUUCCAUACUGGGCUAUUUCUUCUGUCCCUUGUGAUGUCACUUCCUGUAACUAUGGGUCUCCUCUCUCCCUGAUCUCCUUUCAAUGUACAGAUAGCUAGAUGUUGUUACAUGUUUUUAAACAGAUUUUCAUAUCAUUAUUAUAGUACACAAUAAUAACUACAAUUUAUUGAGAUCAUAGUCAAUGUGUAAUGAAACAGUGGUACGUUGGAGGCUGUGGCUCCAUAUUCACUGUUUUCUGACCACUUCAAUGAUCACUUUAAAAACUGAUCCAUCAGACUAGAUCUUAUUCUGUAUUAUCUAUUCUCUAUACUUUAGGCUUUGCUUUUGGAGUAUCAGGUGAGAAUCCUGUCAAAACAAUUUCUUUAUAUCAGUCAAACUUUCAGAACGUCCAGACUUUCAGGCUCUCAUCAGCCCUUUGGCUCAGGGAUGCUAGUACUGGAAUGGGUGGUCAUGUCCUAAAGAGAUUCACAAUGGCUAUGUUUACACAGGCAGACCAAUUUUGAUAUUUUUCCACUAAUCGUUUUUUUAAACAAUCAGAUUAGUUAAAAGCAGCCUUUGUGUAAAAGCAGCCUUUUUUUGGGGGGGGGGUAUAUUUUACAAUAGUUAUCUUGUUAUUUUUAGAACCACCCUUCAGCUUCAUUCAACCCCUCCCAUCUAUCUCUGAAAACCCUCAGGUUUUUUGCAGAGUUAGCUCCAGGUAAACGUUGCAAUUCUUCAGUACCAAAACAAAUGAUCUAAUGAUUCUGUUUCUUCACAGCAAAAUCUGCAGAGCUGGGAUGGUUGUAUAAUCAUUUAAAUUAUUUAACUAAGUUUUGAAUCCAGCAUCAUUUUAUGUAUCAGUUCAUGAACCAUGAAUUCAUUAGGCCUAUGGAUUUUACAUGUCUGGGCAGGUGCACAGCCAUGGGUGGGUGGGAGCCUUUUAUUGUCCCCAGCACAAUGUGCACCUGUGUAAUGAUCAUGCUGUUUAAUCAGCUUCUUGAUAUGCCACACCUGUCAAGUGGAUGGAUUAUCUUGGCAAAGGAGAAAUGCUCACUAAUAGGAAUGUAAACACAUUUGUGCACAACAUUUGAGAGAAAUAAGCUUUUUGUGCAUAUGGAACAUAUUAGAUCUUUUAUUUCAGAUAAUGAAACAUGGGACAAACAUUUUACAUGUUGCUUUUAUAUAUUUGUUCAGUGUAUAUAGCACAGCUGUAUUGUCACAGUUGACUUGGACUGGUGUAAGGCGGAAUCAGAUGCAGGAGACAGGUGCUGGAGAUGAGUGUCCUUUUAAUAAUUUGACACACAAAACAAAACCGCACAAGGCACAGGGCGCUACAGACAGACUGCCUGGGAAAAACACAUUCCCAAUGAACAAAAUAUAUAUAUAAGUGGCACAAAAAGGCACGGGGCGCAGCCCGGUAAAUCCUCUCUUCGUGAAACUGUCAGAAACAAACCCAUAAUAAAACACGGACCACCGUCCUGAGUAGACAAUGAACAAUCCGACACAAAACCCCAACUGAAAACACACACUAAUAAGGCCCCACUAAUGACAGACACAAAACAGGUGCGGAACAGACAGACGAAACCAAAAGACACAGAACCAACGAUCGGUGGCAGCUAAUAGGCCGGCGACGACGACCGCCGAGCACCGCCCGACCGAGGAGGGGCGCCACUUUCGUUGGAUCCUGUGACAUGUAUAUUUUUUGCUCCGUAAAUGAAACUGGCAUACUUUUUUUAUUCAUCACAAUUUUCAUUAACCAAUUUUGGUCUUUAAUGAAGGGGCGACAGACAAGUUUGCAAACGCAGCCUUUGUGAAUCUCUUUAGGACAUGAUCACCCAUUCCCAUAGUAGCAUCCCUGUAGCAUUGAGGAGAUAGUGGGGGGUGAAAAGUAAGGCCAACACUACCGUAUCAGAGUGUGUAUUUGGCUCACAGCCCCUGAUUCUGGGGCACUUAAAGCUGCAAUAUUGUAUGUAACUUUUUGGUUGACCCAACCAAAUUCACAUUGAAAUGUGAUAUGUCAUUCUCAUUAAAAGUCUUAAGAAACUGUGGAUCUGUUCUAUGUGCGCUAUGUCUAUGCUUUCCGUGCUUAAGUUUCUUUUUGUAUCUUUUAUGUUUGGUUUUGUACACCAGCUAUAAAGAGCUGGUUAUACGUUGUUUUUGUACUUGAAAAAAAUUAGGGCAACUAUUAUAAUUUUAGUAACUAGGAAAUGGCAGAGUGAUUUCUGCCUAUUGCAUCAUUAAGGAUUUCCUCUGAAUUACCAUUAAGAUAAUGGAUGAAAUGGAAAUGAUUGGCUAUGGAAUGACUAAGAUAUUUACAUGUCAGGUGGUAUAUGUUGUAACUAUUCAAUAAUUGGUUAAUGAUCAACUCUUGCCUUUUAUUUCAAUCUCAAAGUAUUUAGAAACCUUUCAUGGAUGCAAAGAAAUCUGACGCUCUCUUUAGUUUGAAAGUUUUGUUUACAUUUUGUCAUUCCCAUAUGUUCUUGUAGAUUUCAUACAGUAGAAGCUUGAGCUUAGCUAAAUUGUAUAUCAAAGGAAACAUUACACUUAGUGAUAUCCCCUGUAUUGCAUAAUUACCGAUUGCUGAUUAGCCAUUGAAAGUUCAAGACAUGUCAGGACUGUGUUAAAUGUUUUGAUACUCAGCUUCACAUGGCACAUUAUUCGUUAUUGUAAUAAUGUAUUAAAUCUAUAGGCAACAAUUAUAUUCAACAUUUUGUAAUGUUAUUUUUAAGAAAAUUAUUAAGUGGAAUUGCUUACAGAUGUAUCUUGCCAAAAAUGAUUGAUCAAAUUGUACUUUCACUGCACCAUAGCAUUAUUUUGGAAAUAAUUAUAUAGGUUAUUACAAGUAAAAGUCUUUCAUAUGCUUUGCAGAUGUAAAAAUUCUUGUAGCAAUUUUUUUUAGGACUCAUCAUGGAGGUCAUUCUAGAUCUUUGUCCUCAAAAACCUCCAAUCACUGUGAAUGAGUUCAGAGUCUAGAAGACCACGCUGAAAUCGAGGCUGUUUUAGGACAAGCCCAAAUGAUAGAAAAGUUAUUUAGAUAAUAAGAUCAGGUGGUGAAUGAAUGAGAUAGUUAUGGUAGUAAAUCAAAUGAACUAACUAAAUGUUUCUGGACAAAAAAACUGACUAACUGAAAUUAGCACUUGGAAAUGGACCAGGGUCUCUGAUACACAUGACCAUCACGUGUCCUGAUAGUCGUUAGUACGUUGAUAGUUUGUUGAUGUUAGUUUAUGGUAUGUGCAGAAUGAAAGAACAUGUAGAUGUGAUAAAUAUGUCUAGUUGAUGAUGUCAUUAGCUGCUUUCAUUCUCUUCCUUUCUCAUUCUAAUGCUCUUAUUGCUCCCACGCACAGCUUACACUGGCACUGCGCUAGCUAUCUGCACAUGCUUCAAGUGCCUAGGCUUUUUGAAUGCUGCGUUAUUGUUCAUAUCGGUAUCUGUGUCCUUGCAGACAAUUCUGCUUCUCUUACACGGCACACCUUACUUAGCAAAUAUCCUAUGUGCUGUACCUUUUUGUUUUUAUCACUGUAAUAAUAGUCUAGUCUUCCAUGCACUGAAAUCUCAUUGUAGUUUGACUGCUUUGCAAAGUGGGAUUUGUGAAUGUGAUGUGUACACAUUAGUUUGCCAAACCAGUGUUUUCUCUCCUUUCUUUCUUG